GCUUAAAUCAGAAGAAUAUGUGUGAAAACACAGAAUUGUGGGAUGUUGGAGAUGUUGAACAUUAAAUAUCAAACACACGAAAAUGUAAAAGAUAGAUAAAAAGUGAUUUGACACAAUAUGGCCCCUUUAAUAAUUAUUUUAUUAGAUUCAAGACCAUUUUAUUUUAAGUCUGUCCAUUGAACAUUAA